UUUAUUUUGUGUUAUUAUGGCGCUGAGUUCUGCGCCAUAGUAACACAAAAUAAAGCCAUCAAGCAUCAGGAGACGGUUUCCCUGUCGAACGCUUCAAAUAUCCAGUUGAAACAGAUGGGACAAUUGAGGCGGAAGAUAGGAAAUGUCCAUAUUGUGAGCUGGCUGCUCUCUUCCAGCCAUGUAGCAAGCUCUCUUGGUACUGGUUGUUAAGAAAUUAUUUUGGUACAUAGUUCAGCACUGAGGCGGGAAAAAUAGAUCAGGAAUGUACUGGUGUAUUGAAUUGCCUCAGCAACGAUCAGCUGCAUAUUGUAUUUCUUUGAAACAGACCUGGAUAGACUUUAACGAGGAAGAGAUGGAGAGAUAGGAGGACAGAAGGGUAUGACUGCUGGGAAAUGAAAUUUUCAGAAUUCUCUGGUCAAAAAUCAAAGGUUUUAAAAAUUUAUUUACAGAUUUUCAAAUUAUUCCCAGUCCAGGCGAAGACCUCAGCACGGCACGCAUAAACCUAUUAAAUGAAAUGCCGUCUCUCUGUCCCAGCUGUCUUGUGCAGACCCCUUCAAAGUUUAAUCCACAGGUCUUGUCUCCUGUCUAAAACCCCCUCAUUUAACAGCUGUGAGUCCCUGAAGGCCAUGGGUGCGGCACAAGAUGUCGAUAAGGAACAGCUGAAGAAAAGAGAAGCUGAAGUCCCAGAACAAAUAGACCUAAACCCACAGACUUCAUGACUGAAAAGGAAGAUGUGCAGGGUAUGGGGUUCUUGCAUAGGAUUUGAAAGGACUCAUAUUUAAACCCUGCAAAACAUGCAGAAAAGGUGAGAAAAACAAGACAUAAUGUAUAAAGAUCUGUUUCAUUUAGUUCUAAAUGUGUAUUAAGCUAUGGUUUCUGUUUGCUUGGAUGUUGCAUACUCCUGAAGACUUAAAUUGUGAAAUCAGAGUAUCAAAAAGCUUAGAAAUCUGUGGAAAUGAGCAGUUGAAGUGGUCCUAAGGUCUGUGUUUCUCCUCAGUGAAAAUGUGCUGUGUUAAGAAGGAGAACACGGGUGUAACAAAUGUCCCUGUGAAAUGAUAGACCUGAUUGUUACUGCAACCUAGUGAGACCAGGGGAAACUUGGAAGGAAAAGGCUGAGAAAAAUUUGGGAGGAUAAAUUUUUGCAUUUUCUCCACUAAAUGAGAUCUUGGAGCAAAAAUCCAAGGAAGCAAAAAAGGUUCCCUUUUUGAAUGAUGUACUUAUUUUUGUUAUUUCAGGAUUACAAUUAACUAUUAUAGAUUAGGGGGGGAAAUUCCCCUCCCUAUGAAAGCAAAAGUACUUGUGCUCAGUGAAGAACUGCAAUCAUUUCAAUUUUGGACUUUUGUUCUGUAAAGAAACAUCGAGCAUUUUCCCUCUGCACUGAAAGAAACGAUGUCUUCAUUUGCCACCAAAGGCAGGAGCAGUUAUCUGGAGAUUGCUCUGGACUUAGGUCUGUGGAGAGGCACACUCAGGAUAGUGCCAAAUGUCCUGGUGAGGGAGCUCUGGUAGAGCAGUGCAUCCAAUGGGCAUUUAUUUCAAGUUGCGCCUUUACGAAGAGAUUUGUUUGGGAAAUAUCUUAAUAGCCUUGUGUUUAUUGAGUAAUGGUGACACAGAUAUCUGUUCCAGGAAAAACUCACUGGGAUUAGCGGAGUAAUUGGAAUAGCAGAAAAGGUCUAUUUGACUCGGCUUGAGAGGACAGUGACUUUGCUCAGAUUUGACUUCUGCACUUCUUCCUUUUGAUUCUAAUGCAAGCUGUGGUCCUUCAUUUUUCACCUAGCAGAGAACAACUAAGUAGAGAUGAGCAUUAUUGGAAGUUCACAAAUAUCCAUGGUUCCUGACAUGACAGGACACACAUAAUUUUGCAAAAAAUUUCACACAGUUGGUGUCGGAGGAAGCAAGGAAAGCAGAGCAACUGUCUCUGAAAUAACAUUGUGACUUGGAUUGCUGUGAAUCUCCAUUUCUUCUUGAGCUGCUGCUAUUGUAUAUAUGUAUCACUAUGCAAAUUAGUGAAAUUACAGUGAUAGAAGAGAAAGUAAAAAAGUUUAAAAAAAUCCUUUAGUGUAGCAAUUCUGAAAAAUGACAUAGCAAGGAAGCCUAAUUGUGACUUUAAAGUGUCAUUUUUCUGUAAUAAAGCUCCAAUAUUAACUAUGUAGCAGGCAUGAAAAGGGAAGAAAUGUCUGAUAGAAAAUCAGAAAUGCCUGAAAAUCAGGGUGACUUUGGAGACUUUUGUGAUUUCCUGUAAUGUGACAUAAACCACCUAUUGUAUUUUUGCUGGGAAAUUUGUAGCUGAGGUCAAUAUAGCAGAAUAUAAAACUUGAGGAAACAGAAACAGGGUUUCUGUGCUAGAAUAAGAGUUGUGUUCUUUAUCAAACCAUUCACAGAGGAUGGUGCCUGUUCAAAUUUACAUAAAGCAUGCUAAAAUGUAUGUUAGGCUGUAUUCUAUAAUGUUUGCUGCCCCUGUUAGCAGGAAGAAGCAAAAUGUUUAAUUUUGCAUCAUCAGAAUGCUUGCAUUUAGAUACAAGCAGCCUUUUUUACUUGGACUUGUUAAGACAGCUUACUACUCUGGCAGUAGUUUACCCUGUUCUCCCUGUGCUUGCUGCAGCCUAACACCAUCUUCCUGGUGUGGUUUAGGCUUUGCCAUGCUCGGCACAGAUAGAGCCACUGGUGGGGAUCUGGCUGGUUCCAGCACUGCUGUGUUGGAGGACAGUCAGCCUCCUCCUUCUAGCUCUUGCCCAGGUCUGUACCCUGCUGAGACCUAGUCUUCAGUCUGACCUGGAUUUUCCCCACAAAAAGCAAGAGCCCCCAGAGAUCAGUUCUGCUUUCUGUGUUCUCCCUGUCAGGGUUUGUCCCUUUGAUGGAGGUGAUGUGUGCAGGGAGCUGAGCAUCUACCAAGGUUACGUGUGUGGUUUGAUAAACGUUUGGUGAAAGGAUCCCAUACAGCAAGGGCCAGCAAAGUGAUGUGGUUUUAUAGGGAACUCACUUAAUGACUGAACUGCAGUUGUAGGGCAGUGAUUUAACAAGGUCAAUUCCUCAUUCAUUUAAGUUUAUUUAAUAAUAAAUCUGAAAUAAAUACUGUCUUAGAUAUUUUUUUGCAACUUUUCAGUUGGAAUUAAUUGGGUGCUAUAAGUCGAGCAUAAUUAUUAGAAAUUAUUCACUGCUUUCAUUUCUAAGGAUGUGAAUUAGCCCAUGUUCUGUUUUGCUGAUGGAGUGCAUUCUGCUUUAGGAAACCCAUGGAGUAUGGCUAGUAUGAGUACAGACAGCUACACAGUGCUAACUUUCUGUCUAAACCUAGAAGCUUCAGUUAGCUUUGAUCUUAUAUUGUUUUCCCAGUGCCAGACCUGAGUGAUAAGAAACUUGUGUUGCUGAAAAGGUGAACAACAUAAAUGUACUUUAAUGGUAAUUUUGCCUCAAAUGUCCCCUUUCCCCAGCAUGACUGAAAACAUCAAUUAUGGGUUCACAAUUGUGUGAUUAUUAGCAAUAUUGCAUUGUCUUCCUGAAUCUCCAUGAUGAUGCAAAGAUAUUAAUGGUUAUUUUAUGCAAGCUUACCUAUGUUUUCUAAAAAUUGUAUAAAACUGAAGAGAGCUGUUAAUGCGGGCAGGAGAAAUGAUGGAGAUGUGGUCAGUACAUGGCAGUAGCUAAUCCGAAACCUGUGACUUGCCUUAUCACCCUCUUGGCUUCCCUCAGAAACUACCAGAGACUUAAAAAAGGCGGCCUUGGGCAUGUAUUAAAAAAAAACAAAACAAAAAAACCCCAAAACAAACAAACAAACAAACAAAAAAACCCAACAAAAAACCAAAACCAAACCAAAACAAACAAACAAACAAACCCCAAACCAAAACAACAAAAAAAACCCCAAAAAACAAAAAAAACCCAAACAAAACAAAAAAGCCCACAAAAGCAAAACCAAAAAUAAACCCCAGCUUUAAAGCCCUCUGUUUGGACUAUGUACUGGUUGACUGUGCCUCAGUGUAUCUGACUUUGUACUGGUGUUAGCCAGUAUGACCCACAAGUAGCUGCUUGGACCUCCAGUUCCUGGCCAUGGAGGACUACAGAUGUAUGGUCUGGACAUGAUGUGGAUGGUGUGCAAGCCCUGCCUCAUGAACAAGCCUGGUCAGAAAGCUAUCCAUGCUGACACAGAUAAAUGGAAGCUGUAGAAAAGUGAUAGAAAGCAGAGUUCAGACUAUUCUCUGCCCCAGGGGAACAGCUGGACUACUUUAUCAGGAUGGAGAGUGGAAGGUGUCUGACCAUUGCUGAGAUCUUGUGUGAAUACAUCAGUGUGGAUUCCUCCAUCCCAGGCUGCCAGCAGAGUCUUUCUCUUCCCCAGGGAGGAUCAUGCUACCCUGUUCAUCUGUGGUGCCAGUCAGGACAACGUGAUGUCUCGUGUGGUGAGGCAGGCGACUUAGGGAAAAAAAUCACUAUCAGGGGUGAAAACUGGCCAUGUGCAGGGCCACAAUGACUCUUCUUGGCAGCUGUGGCAACAAUGGGAUGGUCUAGGAUGGAAACCACUCUUUCCAGCACCUGAGGAUUUUGAAUAAAAAUGUUUUUCCCUUACAGAAGUGUCAUGGAAAGCCAUCCCCUGGGAAAAGGGGAAAAGUGGUGGUGUAAGCCCCGUGCUCGUGAUUCCACAUCACUUGCUACGCUGAAGAAAAUAUGAGGUGUGUCUCUUGGAGGCAGGACAACCAUUUCACCAUGAAGAGGAGGAAAGUGUCCUAAGUUGCCAGGAGUGGGAGAGUGUUUUCUAGCAGAGAAGGUCUUGACCAGGUGAGCAUAGGGAGGUGACAGCCCCUUCUUUGAGUGUUGCCUGGUGUCAUCCCCAGUGAAGCUGCUGUGCCUCUGCAAGAACUAGUAUCCCCUUCUAAGUGAAUGACACAACUACUGGGGCUGGGGUCUCUUUCUUAGGGCAGAUGGCAAUCAGUUUCCUAAGACCUUGGUGCUUGUGACUUGGGACAGGAAAGCAGAUGAAAUCUUGAAAUGCUGUGUGGGGCUGGAAACCUGGCUUCUAAACCUGAUUUGAAGCAGUACCAACCUGCUUGGGUGCUGUCUCUAUGCCAACAUGUGAUGGAGGAACAGGCUUGGGCACAAAAAGCAGACAUGCUCUUUUUGAGGCCCCAGCUAGUAAGGAGGUUUGAGGUUAUCAGAUGAACCUUUCUCAGCCACCUGCCCCUUUGAGAAGUAGUGCUUCAGGCAUCCUGACGAGACCUCCAGAUUUGGCUUCACCACCAUGCAGAUGCACUUUCAGCCAGAGCUGCCUUGACUGUCACAAAUAUUGAAAGAGUGCCUAACUGAUUGUCAGACUCCUCAAGUUGCAUUGAUUUUACUGCUGCAAUAUUCAGAUGAUGAGAUUUUUUUGUUUGCUUGUUUGUUUUUGUUUUUGUUCCAUUGCAUCUGAGUUCUGGAAGGCGGGAUAGAGGUCAUGACAUUGCGCUGUGUCCACAAAUAUCACAAGGUGUUCACUGGCACCACAAGGCAGAGAAAAGCUGCAUUAUGUCUUUUCAAAGGAUCAUUUUAUUCGUAUGAAGUCAGUUCCCAAGUUCAGCAAGAGGAAAACUGGGGGAGAAAUCUCAAAAGAUGCUGUCCUGCUAGCUUGGUCAUCACACUAAUGUUGUGAGCUUCUCUAAGAAUCUGGCAGUAGCUCUGUAAACUGCUAAUAAACAGCAACAGGUCUGAGCCAGUGCUGCCAGCCUUCCUCACGGCAGGAAGACAACCAGAGAAGAGAUGCCUGAGCUGCUGCACCUCAGAAGGACUGUGUUACUGGUAUGAUAUGACAAUACAGAAAACCUGUAAAAACCUAAUUUGAAGAAGGAACUUGAAUCUCCUCCUGUAGCCCUAUUUAAACUGCUUCCCCAUUACCCCUAGUUCUUGUUGAGAUGUGGUAUAAAUUAUUACAGCAUCUCCAGUUUCAGCCUGUGCACAGCAUUCUCACACCUUGAGCAUAAAAGAUGACUUAAAAAUAAGUUUAUUAAAAAGUAUUAACUUACUUAAAAAAAAGUAAGUUUAUUCUAUAUCUGCUGUAAAUAUCAUAUUCUUUCAGCUAAUGGAGGAUUUUCCAGAGCCCAUUUCAUCUUCCAUAUGUUAACCCUCUAGACAAAUUUAGCUAUGGUACAAAGGUUUUAUGUUGAGAGGGAUUUUUCCUUUUAAUUCUUCCUGCUCCCCCUUUGCAGCAGGAGAUCUAUUCUGUAGUUGUUCUCUGGAAUAUUCUCACUCCAGGCUAUUGAUAGCUGUAGACAAAAAAAUGACCAUUUUCUCGAGAGUUCACUGUGAUGGCGAUUUGUUUGCAGUGCAUUGCUUGAAAUGUAUUUAGCCACUUGUUAAGUUUAAGACUUAGCAAGCAUUUACCUACUCUGCCUUGACCAUCUGAGGGCACUGUCCCGUUAUACUUGUUGGAAAAUGUUUGCCUGGUCACUGCAAACUGUCUGCACUGCACCCACCCUCUCAGCCUGUUAUUCAAAACUCACAGACAUCAAGAACCUAUCCAUGCAUCUUCACUAUGUCUUGGACUUGGAUAUAUUUCACUCACUCUCUGGGCCAGAGUGUCUGUUGCUAUAUGUCUUUAUUGGCACUGAAUCCAUUUUGGGGCAUUCUACCUGAAUGUCCCAUCUAGAUCUUGAUCUAGAUGGAACCAUGACUGACGUUCAGGUCAGAGCACUCAUAGACAUCCAACAAAGAUUACUGGAAAGUGCGUUAUGCAUGACGCUGUUUAUGCUUGGGUAGAGCAUUACUCUGAGAAUAAUAUCAGGUUUUGAAGACCUCAAGUGACAAAGAAUCUACAGCAGUCUUUGAUUGUUCCAUAGGGACCCACCUUGCAUGUCAGAAAAUUCCAUCUUAUCUUGUUUACUAACUGCUAUGUUAGUAUUAGACUAAGAGAUAACACAUUAGACUAAAUAGGUUUAAUAAGUUCACAUUCCACUGGAUAAUCAGUUAGUCUGAAUAGGUUGUUCUUCAAUUAAUUUUCUCUUUGUUAUUAAUACUAAUUGUAUGUUGUGAAGCACAGCAAACCACCAGGCCUUCUUUUGGAGGUUUUUAUUAAUUACACGCAAGCAGGCAUCUCUCUCUUUUCCUUUAAUUCUAUCUCACUCUGAAACAAAGCCUUCUGUAUGUGGUCAUAAGAGCAGCUUUGGGUAGAGAGGAAUGAGAAAUCCUGUGGAAGGGACAUCAAGGAGAAAGAAAUAUGGGGCUUCUGCAAUGGGUAGUAGAUACUUUUUAGAUAUCCUCCUCUGGACUAAAAGUGCAGAGGUUGGGGAUAAUGGAAAACAUGGAAAACAACAGAAUGAUGGUGGGUUUAUACCAGUUAAGAACCUGAUCUUGUGGCCAUACUUUAUUCCACCUAGCUGUGGGCAACUGAAGAGAGGCAUGAUUUUGUUUCAACUCACAUACAGGUGAUGAAAUGCAAUGGAAGAUACGUUUAUACAGACUUGCCUCAUUGCGCUCCAUGUCUUGCCUGGAGUACUUACGAGUUUCUCUUUGCACUAUGAUGGAAGCCUUUGCAAUAUGAUUUAUUCUGGAGGGAAAUGGCAGAUUAUGUUGAUUUUGGGGAUGUAACAACAGGGGUAAAAUAAUGAGGCAGUUCCCCUUGAUCUUUAUCUAGCAACAGAGAUAUUAGGUGGCCAAGUUCUAGAUAAAUGUCAAGCAAUCAAAGAUAAUUUUGGCAGAAGUGUGUAAAAAUCCUAUGAUCAGCACAGUAAUCUCAGCAUAUUAGUAGUUUGUUCAGAACUUUAAAACAUUAAAUGUAGAGGAUUCCUUCUUUAUGAUUGGCACUGAGAAAGCUGAAUGUUGACAGUAGAAUAUAGAGGUCUCUGAAAUUCAGGCAUUCAAUUAAACACCAGUAUACCAAAUGAGUGUUAAGGUUUUUUAGGCACUAGUAAUCAGCUCUGGGAAUAAAGGGUGAUUCUGAACACACUAAAGAACAAUUUUGAAAAUGCAAAAAAUUUUCAGGAGAUUUGUUGUUGUUGCUGUCACUGCCAUGAUCGCAUUCCAAUUACAGAGACGGGGUGGGAUAGCCUGAAUUACUGGAAUGCUGUCAGGGGCAGUUACAUGCUGUUUUUUUAGGAAAAGUAGGCCAUCAAGGCAGGUUGGUGGAUCUGUUCCUUAUAUGAGAAAGCAACCACAAUUAUCCAGCUCUGACAAGAGGUGGAUGAAAAAUGGGUUAAGAGUUUAUAGGUAAAAAUUAAGGGGCAAGCUAACAUGGGUGACACUGCUGAAGGAAGAAGUAGAUGAGGAAGAAGGAGAUGAGGCCUUCUGCAGAUAUCUGGAAGCAGCUUCACAGUCAGAAGCCCUUGUUAUUGUGAGGGAAUUCAGUCACACCACUCCAAGACAGCACAGUGAGGCACACGCUGUCUAGGAGGUUCCUGCAGAGCAUUGAUGGUAAGGUGUUGGCACAGAUGGUGGAGGAGACAAGGAGGAGAGGUGGGCUGCUGGACCUUGUACUAGCAAAGAAAGGACUAAUUGCGGAUGUGAAGGUUCGGGGCAGCCUUGGCUGCAGUGACCAUGAGAUGUGGGGCUGUCUGGGUCUCCACAUUUGACUGAGCUUUGUUUCAUACUACUAGUCUCAUCACUAAGCAGACCUCCCUCUUCAUUAGUGUCUCUCUUGAUUAACGUUGUGGUUUAGGUAUUGUGCUGUCAAAUUCAAUGCUCCACAGAGACUCCCCAAAAGCAGAUGCUGAUCUCUCACUCCCCCUUUCCCUCCCACUUCCCACAGUGGGAUCGAGUUGAGAACUGCAGGCACAAAAGCUGAAAACCAGGGGCUGAGAUAAAAACUAUUUACUAGAAAUAGCAAUGAGAUAAGGAAACGAACAGUAACAGCAACAAUAUUAAUUACAGAAGUCUUAUAAAAGAGAGGGUGAUUCACAUGCAAAAAUUCUCACCACAGACUCCAAGAAAAAUGAACAAUGACAGACAGCUUUCCCCCUUCCACCAUGUUUUUUUGACUGGAAGCCAUGCCCUUCUUCUCAGAAGUCAGGGAGAGCCCUUUUCCCUGCCCUUGGCAAUGAUGUGAGGUAGUAUCAAAUAACAUUAAGGUUGUGCUUGACUCUAGGCUGGCUAGUUACUGAUGAUUUUCCAACCUCAUAUUUUUGCUUUUC